rnacentral:tRNA from 1 species
GAGGUUGUUGCUCAGCGGUAGAGCACUCGCCUAACACCAGCGAGGCCCUGGGUUUGAUCCUCAGCACCACA